rnacentral:rRNA from 1 species
GAUGAACGCUGGCGGCGUGCCUAAUACAUGCAAGUCGAGCGAACGGACGAGAAGCUUGCUUCUCUGAUGUUAGCGGCGGACGGGUGAGUAACACGUGGAUAACCUACCUAUAAGACUGGGAUAACUUCGGGAAACCGGAGCUAAUACCGGAUAAUAUUUUGAACCGCAUGGUUCAAAAGUGAAAGACGGUCUUGCUGUCACUUAUAGAUGGAUCCGCGCUGCAUUAGCUAGUUGGUAAGGUAACGGCUUACCAAGGCAACGAUGCAUAGCCGACCUGAGAGGGUGGUCGGCCACACUGGAACUGAGACGCGGUCCAGACUCCUACGGGAGGCAGCAGUAGGGAAUCUUCCGCAAUGGGCGAAAGCCUGACGGAGCAACGCCGCGUGAGUGAUGAAGGUCUUCGGAUCGUAAAACUCUGUUAUUAGGGAAGAACAUAUGUGUAAGUAACUGUGCACAUCUUGACGGUACCUAAUCAGAAAGCCACGGCUAACUACGUG